CUACCAUGAAGUCGUCAGCUAGGGCUCGCUACUGUCAUCUCAAGGCUCAACUGGAAGAAGACCUACUUCCAAGCUCACUCACAUUGCUCUUAAACUGGACUCAGAUCCUCUCUGGCUGUUGCUUGUGAACCUCAUUUCCUUCCCACAUGGGCCUUUCCAUAAGGCAAUUCCUAGACUACUUCUUCCUCAGAAUAGGUAUCUUUAUAAUUCCAUUCAAGCUAAGGCCCAAAGAAAAUAGGCCAUUCAACUCCAGUGCUGCAAACAGUGAGUUUUGGCAUGGGAACAAGGCGGAUGGCAGGAAGGCAGGAAACCACAUGUUUUCCUGGGACAUGGGGCUGCCUUUGCCAAGGAAUAGCUUCCUGAUGACCUACUCUUGUUCCUGCCCCCGGGCUAAGCUUCAAGUCUUCUUGACAUUCUGACCUAAACUCUACUUUUCAGUGCUGGUGAGAGAGAUGAAUGUAGACCAAGAACUCCUCCUGUGAGGGCAAAUAAGCUUCUUUCUACAACAUUCAGCCUUAGAAGACAAGAUAUUUGCUGAUCUUGUUUUUCUUUUAAUAAAGGAAUGUGACCUUUUAA